rnacentral:rRNA from 1 species
UACGGAGGGUGCGAGCGUUGUCCGGAAUCACUGGGCGUAAAGGGCGCGUAGGUGGUGGCUUAAGCGUGCGGUGAAAGCUCGGGGCUCAACCCCGAGUCGGCCGUGCGAACUGGGCUCACUGGAGCAUAGUAGAGGCAGGUGGAAUUCCGGGUGUAGCGGUGGAAUGCGUAGAGAUCCGGAGGAAGACCGGUGGCGAAGGCGGCCUGCUGGGCAGUUACUGACACUGAGGCGCGACAGCGUGGGGAGCAAACAGG